CAUGACUGGGGUGAAGUCGUAACAAGGUAACCGUAGGGGAACCUGCGGUUGGAUCACCUCCUUACCUUAAAGAAGCG
rnacentral:rRNA from 1 species